UUAAGCUAUAAAGAGCAUAGGGUGGAUGCCUAGGCACUGAGAGCCGAUGAAAGACGUGAUAAGCUGCGAUAAGCUGCGGUAAGGAGCAAAUAUCCAUUGACCCGCAGAUUUCUGAAUGGGGAAACCUACGCAAGAAGACCUUGCGUACUCAUACAUGAAUACAUAGUGUAUGAGAGGGAACCCGGGGAACUGAAACAUCUAAGUACCCGGAGGAAGAGAAAGAAACAUCGAUUUCCUUAGUAGCGGCGAGCGAAAGGGAAAGAGCCCAAACCGAGGGUCUACGGACGUUCGGGGUUCGGACUUGCAAAAAUCGAAGUACUUAUAGACGAAGAGGUUUGGAACUUCCUACCAAAGAGGGUAACAGUCCCGUAGUCGAAAUGAGUACAAGAGGGCGAGAAUCCAGAGUACCACAGGACACGAGUAAUCCGGUGGGAAGACGGGGGGCCCACCCCCCAAGGCUAAAUACUACUUGGUGACCGAUAGCGUAUAGUACCGUGAGGGAAAGGUGAAAAGAACCCCGGGAGGGGAGUGAAAGAGUACCUGAAACCCUAUGUUUACAAGCAGUGGGAGCGAGAGCGACCAUGUACUUUUUGUAGAACGGGCCGGCGAGUUACUGUGUGCAGCGAGGUUAAGUUGUUAAGCAACGGAGCCGAAGGGAUACCGAGUCUGAAAAGGGCGUAAAGUUGCAUGCAGUACACCCGAAACCGGGUGACCUAUCCAUGGACAGGAUGAAGCGACGGUAAGACGUCGUGGAGGUCCGAACCACACGUACGUGAAAAGUGCGGGGAUGAGCUGUGGAUAGCGGAGAAAUUCCAAUCGAACUCGGAGAUAGCUGGUUCUCCCCGAAAUAGCUUUAGGGCUAGCCUCGUUUUAAAUUACCGGGGGUAGAGCACUGAAUGGGCUAGGGGGCCACAAAGCUUACCGAACCCUAUCAAACUUCGAAUACCGGAUAAUUGAUGAACGGGAGUCAGACGGCGGGAGAUAAGUUUCGUCGUCAAAAGGGAAACAGCCCAGAUCUACGACUAAGGUCCCGAAAUCACAGUUAAGUGGAAAAGGAUGUGCAGUUGCACAGACAACCAGGAUGUUGGCUUAGAAGCAGCCACUCAUUUAAAGAGUGCGUAAUAGCUCACUGGUCGAGUGAUUGUGCGCCGAAAAUGUACCGGGGCUAAACUGUGUACCGAAGUCUAGGGAUCGUGAUAAACGAUCGGUAGGGGAGCAACGUGUGCGGGCUGAAGCCGAAGCGGAAGCGACGGUGGACUGCACGGGAGAGAGAAUGCCGGCAUGAGUAGCGAGAGCAAAGUGAGAAUCUUUGCCGUCGAAAGCCUAAGGUUUCCUGAGGAAGGCUCGUCCUCUCAGGGUAAGUCAGGACCUAAGCCGAGGACAAAAGUCGUAGGCGAUGGACAACUGGUUGAUAUUCCAGUACCACCUUUAGCGUUUGACUGAAGCAGUGACACAGAAGGAUAGACAGAGCGCGUGACUGGUAGAGCGCGUCCAAGCGAUGAGGGAGUUAAGUAGUGAAGAACGCUUAACAAUCCUGGGUCGUGAUGGGGACUGAAAAUAAGUAGGGAAGCUGUUGAAUUCACGCUGGCGAGAAAAGCUGCUAAGGAGCGAAAGGGUGCCUGUACCGCAAACCGACACAGGUAGGCGAGGAGAGAAUCCUAAGACGAGCGGGAGAACCCAUGUUAAGGAACUCGGCAAAAUGACCCUGUAACUUCGGGAUAAAGGGAGCCACGAGAGUGGCCGCAGAGAAUAGGCCCAAGCGACUGUUUACCAAAAACACAGGUCUGUGCGAAGUAGAGAUACGACGUAUACGGGCUGACGCCUGCCCAGUGCCGGAAGGUUAAGGGGAAGUGUUAGGGCAACCGAAGCACGGAACUUAAGCCCCGGUGAACGGCGGCCGUAACUAUAACGGUCCUAAGGUAGCGAAAUUCCUUGUCGGGUAAG
rnacentral:rRNA from 1 species